CAAUAGGUGGGAGGGGAGGAGGAAGACGAAGGGUGGGGUGGGCUACCCCGCCUUCCCCCGUCCAAUAUUUGCCACCGGGACGCGGCGGGCUCUGCGAACAACUCCCGGAGCAGCUGUUUCCCGUCGCCGGACUCGAGCCGAGGAAGCCCGCGCAGCCCCGGCACCCAGGGCGCCCCGAUGAGGAACACGCUCUUAAACCUCCAUAUCCUCAAGACGAAACCAACAAUCAUCUUUAUCAUUGGCAUCAUGGGAGUUGGAAUAGGUAGCGGACUCCUCUGCUGCUUGAAGUAUGCCAUGUUCAACCCCGAAAUAAGGAGUGCACAACUUGUGGCCCUUGAGAUGGUGUUGGACUACAAUUCCCAUCAUCGCCUGCCACUGUCUAUGUGGAUGGGAAUUGAGACCCAAGACCUGCUAGAGGAACACACAUCUGACUUGGGUCCCUAAUACUAUGUUUAUUAUGAGUUUUAAUAUAUUUGUUUAAUGCUCUUUUAAAAUACUGCACUGAUUUAUUAUUUGACUCUUAACUUUGUUUCUUUUCAUACCACAAGUUGCCUUGCAUCCUUUGGGAGAAAGGUGGCAUAUUAAUAUUUUCAAUGGAUAAAUAAAAUAAGCGUUGUUCCUCUUGAUGUUUGUGUC
rnacentral:lncRNA from 1 species